rnacentral:tRNA from 1 species
GCAUCGGUGGUUCAGUGGUAGAAUGCUCGCCUGGAAAGCCGGCGCUACGGAUUCGACUCCCAGCCGAUGCA